rnacentral:ribozyme from 1 species
GAAAUAGAAUAAUUGCCGUGUUUGACUGUAAAGUCUUUCUUAUUACGCUACUAUUUGCGGGAAGUUCCUAAAGUAAUCUUAUAGAAUUUACUAAAAACUUAAUAAAACUACAAAAUUAAUCCCUCUUUCGCUCGCAAACAAGCUGAAAUGGCUUGCUACUUAGCAAGGCAGGCCUUGCUUAAAUAAGGCAGGUUGUGUUAAUAAUAAGUGUACAGUGAUCUAAAAAUUAAGAUUAAUGUUGUUAAAUUAAUUUAACAUAAAUGGAUAAUCCGCAGGAAACCAAAUUGCACUUAAAGGCAAAAGUAGGAUCCUCAGAGACUAUACGUAGCGCCCCAAUUUUAUUAGCUAGCCAGCCAAUAAGUUGGGUGAAGAUAUAGUCCAAUUAUAUUUGAAAAUUUAU